GGAGAACUUGAUUCCAAAGGGACUGCAUCAUUAGUUUCUGGACCAUUGGGCAUAGGUUCUGAGGAACUAUUGGAUGAGGUAAGAGACAUGCUAGAAAAACUAGACAGAGAUGAGGAAACUGGAACUGAAGGUGAAGAAGCAGAUGGAGAAUCUAAAGAAGAUUCUGAAAAAUACUUGGAACUUGAACUUGAACUUGAAUCAGAAGAGAGAGAGUCCGGC
rnacentral:misc_RNA from 1 species